AUCUGUUUUGUUUCUUUUAAAGACAGGGACUUUUUUCGCCCUCUUUUCUUCUGGGAUUCGAGCGCGAGGAGAUCGGAUCGGAGCUAGGGAAGGCGUUGCAAUGAGGGGCACGAAGCGGCCGAUCCACGAGGUGGCGACGUGGGUGAAGCGGCAGCCGCCGAAGGUGAAAGCGUUCCUCUGUGUGGUGGCAGGCAUGGCCGCCCUCGUAUUCCUCCGCUUCAUCGUCCACGUCCACGACCACGACAACCUGUUCGUCGCAGCUGAAGCCGUCCACGCCCUAGGGAUCUCCGUCCUGAUCUACAAGCUCACCAAAGGGAGGACUUGCGCCGGACUUUCACUGAAAUCUCAGGACUUAACAGCUUUAUUUUUAGCUGCUAGAUUAUAUUGCAGCUUAGUGAUGGAAUAUGAUAUACACACUGUGCUAGAUACGGCUACACUUGCUACUACUCUUUGGGUUAUUUACAUGAUUCGGAUUAGGUUGAGGACAAGUUACAUGGAGGAUAAGGAUAACUUUGCUAUAUCUUAUGUGAUUGUACCUUGUGCUUUGUUAGCCCUUGUAGUUCAUCCUUCGACUUCACACAAUAUUUUUAAUCGGAUUUGUUGGGCCUUUUGUGUUUACUUGGAAGCUGUUUCGGUGUUGCCCCAGUUACAACUGAUGCAGAACACAAAGAUUGUGGAACCAUUCACGGCUCAUUAUGUUUUCGCACUUGGGAUUGCAAGAUUCCUAAGCUGUGCUCAUUGGGUCCUUCAGGUUCUCGAUACCGGCGGAAGAUUGUUGACAGCUCUGGGGUAUGGCUUGUGGCCAUCAAUGGUGCUUCUUGCUGAAAUUGUUCAAACUUUCAUCCUUGCUGAUUUCUGUUAUUACUAUGUAAAAAGUCUUGUUGGUGGACAACUGGUGCUAAGGCUUCCUUCUGGUGUAGUCUGAUCACUUAACACAUAAGUUUUGAGUUAUGACAUAGAAAUCCUUUUUCAUGUGUCUGUGUUGCUACUCCUAUAGGCCUUCAAGUUAAAAAGAAAGAAGGGAGAACCUCUUCUCUCUCUGUAUCUGGACUCGCCUCCUCCUCGCCAGUGACGUGGCGGCUCUGUACGCCAACAGCUGCUGCUGUCGCUGUUUCCACCACCGCACCGGAUCUUGCUGCUGCUGCUGCUGCUGCU